AUACGGAGGGGGCAAGCGUUAUUCGGAUUUACUGGGCGUAAAGGGCGUGUAGGCGGCUUGAUAGGUCAAAGGUGAAAGCCCUCGGCUCAACCGAGGAACUGCCUUUGAAACCAUCUGGCUCGAGGCCGGGAGGGGGUAGUGGAAUUCCUGGUGUAGCGGUGAAAUGCGUAGAUAUCAGGAGGAACACCAGUGGCGAAGGCGGCUACCUGGACCGGUUCUGACGCUGAGGCGCGAAAGCGUGGGGAGCAAACAGGAUUAGAUACCCCAGUAGUCC
rnacentral:rRNA from 1 species